CUGGAACACACUGUGCAUCAAUGCACUAGGGCUGCUGGGGCAUUGGUCAGCCAAAUGACAUAACUAGGAACUCAUAAUGACCAUAUCGAGUUCUGAAAGCAGUCUUGAGGAUAUCUGAUUCCCGAAUCUUCAACUCGUGGUAAACUGAAUACAAAUUAAUCUUAGAAAACACUCGUGCAGGAGGCACACUAGAUACUGGAGGUGCAUAAUAAGGCUCCUAAGGCCUAGGAUGAGUUAAAAUACCACUGGCUGCUAGAAGAGUUGAAUGAACAGGGAGACUCAUAUAACCUCUAACAUGGCGACCUGCAACUGGGGCACGAGCACCAGAAUAAUAGCUCGACUCUCGAGACCUCUUGGCCUCCAUCUCUUCUCUAUUCCUAUCAUGCACACCCUCAAUCCUCCUAGCAAUGCUCACUACCUACUGAUAAGAAAUAUCUAUCUCCAACUCACGAGCAUGCUAGACCUGAUAUUGGGAAUAAGCCCCUCAAUAAACAAUCAAACCCUCUCGUGAAUAAUAGCAACUAAAGCUGGUGCUAAGCUAGUGUAACAGACAACAUACUUCAAGAUAGUUAUAGUACCCUGGCGCAAAUGCUCAAACUCUGCGUGCCAUGCAUCCCUGAGGCUCUAAAGAAC
rnacentral:lncRNA from 1 species